UAAACUUCUACCAUUUGGACUAUCGCACAACUUUAUUAUCAGACAUAUUUUGACAAACGGAUUUAAGUUAUGGAAGAUCGGGACCUGCAUUGAUAGAUGGGAACGAAAGUCGAGGAUUAGACUUUGUCUCAAUUUCACUAUUUGGACAUACGAUUAGCGUACAAUUUUUAUCAAAUGACAAAUAAUUUAUUUUUAUAAUUAUAUUAUUUACUUGCCGUAAAGAAGAGUUACAGAGAAUUGCAAAUUUCAAGAUAGAUUUUAAUUUGUGUAGUAGAACUGUUGUUUAUAUAAAUUGUAUUUAUUUGAACGAUAUUUUAGUUAGUAUCUGGU
rnacentral:misc_RNA from 1 species